GACGAACGCUGGCGGCGUGCUUAACACAUGCAAGUCGAACGGAAAGGCCCUGCUUUUGUGGGGUGCUCGAGUGGCGAACGGGUGAGUAACACGUGAGUAACCUGCCCUUGACUUUGGGAUAACUUCAGGAAACUGGGGCUAAUACCGGAUAGGAGCUCCUGCUGCAUGGUGGGGGUUGGAAAGUUUCGGCGGUUGGGGAUGGACUCGCGGCUUAUCAGCUUGUUGGUUGGGUAGUGGCUUACCAAGGCUUUGACGGGUAGCCGGCCUGAGAGGGUGACCGGCCACAUUGGGACUGAGAUACGGCCCAGACUCCUACGGGAGGCAGCAGUGGGGAAUAUUGCACAAUGGGCGGAAGCCUGAUGCAGCAACGCCGCGUGCGGGAUGACGGCCUUCGGGUUGUAAACCGCUUUAGCCUGUGACGAAGCGUGAGUGACGGUAAUGGGUAAAGAAGCACCGGCUAACUACGUG
rnacentral:rRNA from 1 species